rnacentral:rRNA from 1 species
UACGUAGGGUGCGAGCGUUAAUCGGAAUUACUGGGCGUAAAGCGUGCGUAGGCGGCUAUGUAAGACAGAUGUGAAAUCCCUGGGCUCAACCUAGGAACUGCAUUUGUGACUGCAUUGCUAGAGUGUGGUAGAGGGAGAUGGAAUUCCGCAUGUAGCAGUGAAAUGCGUAGAUAUGCGGAGGAACACCAAUGGCGAAGGCAAUCUCCUGGACCUGCACUGACGCUCAGGCACGAAAGCGUGGGGAGCAAACAGG